rnacentral:rRNA from 1 species
GAUGAACGCUGGCGGCGUGCUUAACACAUGCAAGUCGAACGAAGCACUUUAUUUGAUUUCCUUCGGGACUGAUUAUUUUGUGACUGAGUGGCGGACGGGUGAGUAACGCGUGGGUAACCUGCCUUGUACAGGGGGAUAACAGUUGGAAACGGCUGCUAAUACCGCAUAAGCGCACGGCAUCGCAUGAUGCAGUGUGAAAAACUCCGGUGGUAUAAGAUGGACCCGCGUUGGAUUAGCUAGUUGGUGAGGUAACGGCCCACCAAGGCGACGAUCCAUAGCCGACCUGAGAGGGUGACCGGCCACAUUGGGACUGAGACACGGCCCAAACUCCUACGGGAGGCAGCAGUGGGGAAUAUUGCACAAUGGGCGAAAGCCUGAUGCAGCGACGCCGCGUGAGCGAAGAAGUAUUUCGGUAUGUAAAGCUCUAUCAGCAGGGAAGAUAAUGACGGUACCUGACUAAGAAGCACCGGCUAAAUACGUGCCAGCAGCCGCGGUAAUACGUAUGGUGCAAGCGUUAUCCGGAUUUACUGGGUGUAAAGGGAGCGCAGGCGGUGCGGCAAGUCUGAUGUGAAAGCCCGGGGCUCAACCCCGGUACUGCAUUGGAAACUGUCGUACUAGAGUGUCGGAGGGGUAAGCGGAAUUCCUAGUGUAGCGGUGAAAUGCGUAGAUAUUAGGAGGAACACCAGUGGCGAAGGCGGCUUACUGGACGAUAACUGACGCUGAGGCUCGAAAGCGUGGGGAGCAAACAAGGUUAGAUACCCUGGUAGUCCACGCCGUAAACGAU